GGGGCUGUAGCUCAGUGGUAGAGUGCCCACCUAGCAUGUGUGAGUCCCUGGGUUUGAUUCUCAGCACCACA
rnacentral:tRNA from 1 species